rnacentral:rRNA from 1 species
GAUGAACGCUAGCGGCAGGCUUAAUACAUGCAAGUCGAACGGUAAGUUUGGUAGCAAUAUCAAACCAAGAGUGACGUACGGGUGCGUAACACGUAUGCAACCUACCUUGUACAGGAGUAUAGCUCGGGGAAACUCGAAUUAACCCUCCAUGAGAUCAUAGAAUGGCAUCAUUUAGUGAUUAAAACUCAGGUGGUACAAGAUGGGCAUGCGUCUGAUUAGAGUUGGCGGGGUAAUGGCCCACCAAGACGAUGAUCAGUAGGGGACCUGAGAGGGUGACU